UUCACAAUCAUAUGUUUAUUGAUACCUUCACUGAUAAGAUAAUUAUGUAAGGUAUUACUAUCCAUUCUACCAUAUAAAUAGUUGAUUCAGUUGUGGCAUUGAUUAUCAGUCAUAAUAAUUAACAGUCAUUGACAAUAUGAAGAACGUUGGAGUAAUUAUUUUCACUAUUUUAGUAGCUUUUUGCUGCAACUUCCUUCGCUAUUAGCCAAACAUGGGGGCAGAAUUGGUAACAAGGAUAAGGUUUUAUCCUCUCAAAGGAUCUUCAAUUAUACUUAUCCUUAUGGACUAACGAGGAAAGUUCAAUUCCCUGAAUACAAAAAGACAAACAAAGUAACAAUCACUGCCAUUCAAGCUGUUGAUCAUUCGACGAACAAAACGAACAGCUAUCCAACUCUUUUUGCUGGAGGUCCUGGAUAUAAGUAUAUGACAAUGAACUUCCAAGCUGGAGCAAGGGGGUAACCUGGAUUACCAACUGAUUAUUUAUGGAAAGAAGUAGACAAAUAAAGUGUGGGAAAAUUAAAUUAUAAAAACAUAAAACAU